rnacentral:rRNA from 1 species
ACAAUGGAGAGUUUGAUCCUGGCUCAGGACGAACGCUGGAGGUAUGCCUCAUACAUGCAAGUCGAACGGACUUGAUAGAGCUUGCUUUAUUAAGUUAGUGGCGCACGGGUGAGUAACGCGUGGGUAACCUG